rnacentral:rRNA from 1 species
GACGAACGCUGGCGGCGUGCUUAACACAUGCAAGUCGAACGGAAAGGCCCUGAUUUUGUGGGGUGCUCGAGUGGCGAACGGGUGAGUAACACGUGAGUAACCUGCCCUUGACUUUGGGAUAACUUCAGGAAACUGGGGCUAAUACCGGAUAGGAGCUCCUGAUGCAUGGUGGGGGUUGGAAAGUUUCGGCGGUUGGGGUUGGGCUCGCGGCUUAUCAGCUUGUUGGUGGGGUAGUGGCUUACCAACGCUUUGGCGGGUAGCCGGCCUGAGAGGGUGACCGGCCACAUUGGGUCUGAGUUACGGCCCAGACUCCUACGGUCGGCAGCAGUGAGGAAUAUUGCACAAUGGGCGGAAGCCUGAUGCAGCAACGCCGCGCGCGUGAGUACGGCAUUCUGGUUUUAAUCCGCUUUCGCCUGUGGCGAAGCGUGAGUGACGGUAAUGGGUAAAGAAGCACCGGCUAACUACGUG